rnacentral:rRNA from 1 species
GGAUGCGAUCAUACCAGCACUAAAGCACCGGAUCCCAUCAGAACUCCGAAGUUAAGCGUGCUUGGGCGAGAGUAGUACUAGGAUGGGUGACCUCCUGGGAAGUCCUCGUGUUGUAUAUG